rnacentral:rRNA from 1 species
CCUACGGGAGGCUGCAGUGAGGAAUAUUGGUCAAUGGCCGGAAGGCUGAACCAGCCAAGCCGCGUGAAGGACGAAGGUGCCAAGCAUUGUAAACUUCUUUUGUCAAGGGACAAAAUCAGGCUCGAGAGCCUGACCGAGGGUACUUGAAGAAAAAGCAUCGGCUAACGCCGUGCCAGCAGCCGCGGUAAUACGGAGGAUGCGAGCGUUAUCCGGAUUUAUUGGGUUUAAAGGGUGCGUAGGCGGACUGUUAAGUCAGCGGUAAAAGCCCGGGGCGAAACCCCGGCGAGCCGUUGAAACGGGGUGGCGUGGGAUGUCGAGGGGUAUGCGGAAUGCGCAGUGUAGCGGUGAGAUGCUUAGAGAUGGCGCAGAACUCCGAUUGCGAAGGCAGCAUACCGGCGGCGAUCUGACGCUGAGGCACGAAAGCGUGGGUAUCGAACAGGAUUAGAUACCCCUGUAGUC